rnacentral:lncRNA from 1 species
GAGAAAGGAAAAAUUGAAAUUGCAUCAUAUGACCCCUUUAAACAAGUUGUUCAAGUGAAUGCCACCUUGUUGCCAUCUACUGGCGUAACGAGGAGGUCUUCUGAAGAGGUUAGUAACACUUUAGCAUGCAUCAAAUAUCCAUGAGUCUUUAAAAAGCUUUAAAAUAUAAUCAUUGUUAGUCUAUUUUGCUUGUACACCUUAGAUCUAACUCUAAUUUUUAUAUGCAUUUUAAUUAUAGCUCAUAAUACAUCUCGUUCCACAAAGGUAUUAGAAACACUUUCCACAACAUUGGUAACCACAGCCUCUGCUGACAGUCUUGCUGGCCUGGCUGAAAAUAACAGUGAUGGGAGUGAAACAGUGACAACUAAUCUGACAGUAGUAGUGAUGAUGACCACAGUAGUGUCUCUGUGUGUCCUCAUAUCACUGACCAUCUGUGUCAUUCUUUAUUUCAAAAAACAAAGGCGCAAAACCAACAGCCAAACACAGUUAAACAGUCGGAUCUCUGUGUAUUACUCCCAUGUUGCAGAAGGUAAGUGACAUUCAUGUUAAAUGCUUAG